UUAUCACUGUUGCAUCCUGUUUUUGCAUUCUUGUUAACGGUUUCACUUAACUAGAAAACCACCACAUCCCUCAUUUGCUGAGUCAAUCAGUCAGGGUUCCUUUUUUAUUAACUAUGUUCAUAUUUGUCAUGUUGAUUAUGAGACCAAAGCUCAUGGAAGAACCUUCCGAAGACCCUUGAAGAGCAACCUAAGGAUGGAAACCUCUACUCUCUAUAAGUUAACAUGAAGACAGCAGCAAAAUGUGGUUGUGACAGACAGGGAAGUGACAGAUAAGUUUGUUUAAAUUAAACAAAUUGCUUGAUCUGCUUUUAUGGCUAUUUAUUUAUUUAUAAAGCCUGUAAUAGGCAUGUAAUAAAUGUGCUAUUACAAUCUUAGACAAUAUUAGUUGUUAAAAGAUUUUGUGACUCCUACUGAUUCUGUCUAGAAAUAAUUAUCAUAUACUAUACAUUUAGUAUACAGUUAAACAAUAUGUGUUUAAUUUAUAAAGUGGCAUAAUUAUUAUUUAUAUUACAAUUUUAUUUUGAUAGCCAUAUAUUUUUUAUUCGUAAUAAUAUUUUGUUGCUAGUGUUUGGAGGACCCUCGUUAGAUGGCGCACCCUCUUGUUGUCAGUUGAGAAAAAUCCCGGUUCUCAUGGGUACAAUAUUCUGCCACCAUCAUCAACCCAUAGUGGGUCAAAUUAAGACCCCUGUCCCGUGUAUGGAAAAUCCUAGAGGGUCGGGUGGAGUGAUAAUAAAUGACCUGGAGACGUUUACCAUGAACAAACAACACCUGGUGACAGUUCUUCUCUCUAGAGGUGAAAAACUCCAUCAGACCAGUUCUAUUGUAACAGCAAGUGAAGACAAGAAAGAGAAAUGCCUCCCAAGACCGUAACAUUUCACCCUUUAUUCUUCAAAUAAAGGCAUUUUACCAUCA